GGGUUGUGAGGUUAAGCGACUAAGCGUACACGGUGGAUGCCCUGGCAGUCAGAGGCGAUGAAGGACGUGCUAAUCUGCGAUAAGCGUCGGUAAGGUGAUAUGAACCGUUAUAACCGGCGAUUUCCGAAUGGGGAAACCCAGUGUGAUUCGUCACACUAUCAUUAACUGAAUCCAUAGGUUAAUGAGGCGAACCGGGGGAACUGAAACAUCUAAGUACCCCGAGGAAAAGAAAUCAACCGAGAUUCCCCCAGUAGCGGCGAGCGAACGGGGAGGAGCCCAGAGCCUGAAUCAGUGUGUGUGUUAGUGGAAGCGUCUGGAAAGGCGCGCGAUACAGGGUGACAGCCCCGUACACAAAAAUGCACAUGCUGUGAGCUCGAUGAGUAGGGCGGGACACGUGGUAUCCUGUCUGAAUAUGGGGGGACCAUCCUCCAAGGCUAAAUACUCCUGACUGACCGAUAGUGAACCAGUACCGUGAGGGAAAGGCGAAAAGAACCCCGGCGAGGGGAGUGAAAAAGAACCUGAAACCGUGUACGUACAAGCAGUGGGAGCACGCUUAGGCGUGUGACUGCGUACCUUUUGUAUAAUGGGUCAGCGACUUAUAUUCUGUAGCAAGGUUAACCGAAUAGGGGAGCCGAAGGGAAACCGAGUCUUAACUGGGCGUUAAGUUGCAGGGUAUAGACCCGAAACCCGGUGAUCUAGCCAUGGGCAGGUUGAAGGUUGGGUAACACUAACUGGAGGACCGAACCGACUAAUGUUGAAAAAUUAGCGGAUGACUUGUGGCUGGGGGUGAAAGGCCAAUCAAACCGGGAGAUAGCUGGUUCUCCCCGAAAGCUAUUUAGGUAGCGCCUCGUGAAUUCAUCUCCGGGGGUAGAGCACUGUUUCGGCAAGGGGGUCAUCCCGACUUACCAACCCGAUGCAAACUGCGAAUACCGGAGAAUGUUAUCACGGGAGACACACGGCGGGUGCUAACGUCCGUCGUGAAGAGGGAAACAACCCAGACCGCCAGCUAAGGUCCCAAAGUCAUGGUUAAGUGGGAAACGAUGUGGGAAGGCCCAGACAGCCAGGAUGUUGGCUUAGAAGCAGCCAUCAUU
rnacentral:rRNA from 1 species